rnacentral:tRNA from 1 species
GGGUAGCUCAAUGGUAGAGCAUCGGCCUUUUAAGCCGCUGGUUGUGGGUUCGAGUCCCACCCC